GUAUGGAUUGGUUAGAGAAGUAUAGAGCAAUCAUUAAUUAUGAAAAUAAGAUUAUAACUCUACGUUCACAAAAAAUGAAAUAAAAAUCUUAUGUUUGCUAUACUUUUCUAACCUUUAAAUAAGCAAGAAUAUGGAUGUUGAUCCCUCCGUGCAUACCAUUCUUACUGUCUGUAACUUUUUGGAUGUCUUUCCGAAAGAACUACCUAGUCUACCUCCCCUACGAGAGAUAGAAUUUUCUA
rnacentral:lncRNA from 1 species